GCUCUCGCUCGCUCUCUCGCUCGCUCUCUCCCUCUCCCGUCUCUGUGGUUUGUAAGGUAGGUUGCAGUGUGUGUAUAUACACAACAUCAAGAGCAGGAAAAUGGACUCAUUAGGGAGGCAGGCAGUCAUUACCACUCACACUGUACUUCCAGGGAGACAGCGACUAUGAGGAGACAAACUGAGGACUGGGGAACAAGCAGCAUAGAGAAGAAGUGUUAGGAGCUGCUCUUAACCCUUUUGGAGUCCGAAGUCAAAAGGGAAUUAGAGGGCUUGACACAUCCUUUACAUCCUGCAUUUACUCUGACCACAGUCCUUCCCUGCUCUCACAGGAGGAGCUCAGCCCGGCUUCCCUUCCUGUUGAUUCCCAGUCAGCUACAUGACUGCCUGAAGUUACAUUGUAGAUGCUGAAAUCACUGCACCUUAAAAACAAAAAGAUUAAGCUGCGCUGCAUUCCUACAAAUUGGCUUGGUGGUCCUGGUCCGUCGCUUCCACACAAUUAUCAAGUGA